GCCCUCGUAGUUAAAUGGACAUAACAGGGUCCUCCUAAGACUCAGUUGUAGGUUCGAUUCCUGUCGGGGGUGCCA
rnacentral:tRNA from 1 species